rnacentral:rRNA from 1 species
GAUGAACGCUGGCGGCGUGCCUAAUACAUGCAAGUCGAGCGAACAGACGAUGAGCUUGCUGCUCUGACGUUAGCGGCGGACGGGUGAGUAACACGUGGAUAACCUACCUAUAAGACUGGUAUAACUUCGGGAAACCGGAGCUAAUCCCGGAUAAUAUAUUGAACCGCAUUGUUCAAUAGUGAGAGACGGUUUUGCUGUCACUUAUAGAUGGAUCUGCGCCGCAUGAGCUAGUUGUUAAGGUAACGGCUUACCAAGGCAACGCUGCGUAGCCGACAGGAGAGGGUGAUCGGCCGCACUGGAAGUGUGACACGGUCCAGUGUCAUAGGGGAGGGGGCAGUAGGGAAUCUUCAGCCAUGAGCGAAAGAUAGUCGGAGCAACGCCGAGUGAGGGAUGAAGAUCUUCGGAUCGUAAAACUCUGUUAUUAGGGAAGAACAAAUGUGUCAGUAACUAUGCACGUCUUGACGGUACCUAAUCAGAAAGCCACGGCUAACUACGUG